rnacentral:lncRNA from 1 species
UUUUAUUCUGACUGGGAUAUUAUAAGAAAACGUGAAGACAUUUAAUAAAAAUUUUCAGUUGUCACAUUUUAUUUAGGUUCUAUUAUAUGUAGAGUAAUCCUUGGCAUAUAAUUGUAAGUGUUUUGAACUUUAAAAUUUUUUUUUUUAGAUGAAAAGUUUUGUGUUCAGGAAUUGUGGCUUCUAAACUGGAUCGUCUUGAUGACAAUCUGUGGGCAAGUGUGGGCUCUUGGCGUCGGGUUUCUCCCCUCAACAGCAAAGUGGUCCUGCCUUCCUCACUGAUCUUCCGUGGCCAUUUACCAUCUGUCAAAGAAGCAUAUUCCCCUUCUGGAGGUGAAACCAGGGUACGCCAUUCCCUGAAGAAUCGCUGGUCUGUUACAUCUUAUUUCUACAUUGUAAGCCAAAUUACUAAUGAAAUUUUCCAUGCUUUCUGGAUCUGGUAAUGUUCAAAAGUAAACCAAACAUUUACUUCGCUGCAUCAUGGACACCUGACUCCUUUGAAGUACGGAGAACCUUUCAUCUUACUUUUGUAAAACUCCCAGUUUUAAUUCAUCAUGGAGGAUACCUUUAAAAACUGUUUUUUCUUGCAUAUUGAGUGAGAUUGGCCAGUCAUAAGACGGGGCUUGAGCUGCGGCUGUUGUUCUCGUGAUUUAUAUUGCGUCAUCUCUCUUCUCCAGUCUACAUCCUGAAGUAAACAGAUGAAAAAUGAGACAGCUGGCUGGGACAAGGAGAUCUCGGCCCACCUUUGACAGAGGUCCUGUGAGCAGCCAAGGGGUAGCCUGUGGCUACAGUUCUUGUGUCUGAUUAACUGACUGAGACAAUGUCAGUCAUCAGUCAAUGGCUUUGUGGUUCGAGUUGUGAUAAGAUACAACUUUGAUAAUAAGCAAUGUGUCUAUGUGUAUUAGUUUGCUAG